rnacentral:rRNA from 1 species
AUGCUACCACUCUCCUGCGCGCCACCGCUACCGCCGCCGCAGUCGCGCCCGAACCCCAGCCCUAGCCACAAGCCCAAGCCCCAUCCGUGCGUGCUUCUCUUCCCUGCCGCCCUCCGCACGGCGGCCGCGGCGGCCACCAUCUCCUUCUCCCUCCUCGCCGGCAACGCGGCGGCUGUGGCGGCGGUGGAGCAGCCCUCGGAGAUAUGCCGCGGCCAGGACGACGGGAGGGAGGUAGAGGUGAAGGCCGAGGCGGUGACGAACGAGCAGCUCGUGGAGGAGGCGUGGGAGGUGGUCAACGAGGGCUUCCUCCCCGACGCCGGCAGCCGCCCGUGGUCACCGGAGCUGUGGAUGCAACGGAAGCAAGAUAUUCUUCAAGGUUCAAUCAAAUCCCGCUCUAGAGCCCACGACAUCAUCACGAAAAUGCUAGCUAGCCUGGGUGAUCCAUAUACAAGAUUCCUGUCGUCCUCAGAUUUCUCGAAGAUGUCGAAGUAUGACAUGACGGGGAUUGGGUUGAACUUAAGAGAGAUUCCUGAUGACAAUGGUUCUUUAAGGUUGGUGGUAUUAGGAUUGAUACUAGAUGGGCCUGCUCACUCUGCUGGUGUUAGACAGGGUGAUGAGCUUUUGUCUGUCAAUGGUAUCGAUAUAAGAGGUAAAUCUGCAUUUGACGUGUCGUCCAUGCUGCAAGGCCCAAAGGAAACUUUCGUUACAAUUAAGGUUAAGCAUGACAGCUGUGGUCCUGUUGAGUCAAUGAAAGUGCAAAGACAGAUGGCUGCUCGUACUCCAAUUUUCUAUCGUUUGGAGAAAAGAGACAAUGAGAAUUCAUCUGUUGGAUAUAUUCACAUUAAAGAAUUUAAUGCAGUGGCCAAAAAAGAUUUGGUCAGCGCAUUGAAACGUCUACAAAAUUCAGGUGCCUCCUAUUUUGUUUUGGACCUGAGGGACAAUCUUGGUGGACUAGUGCAAGCUGGAAUAGAGAUUGCAAAGCUCUUCUUGAACAAAGGAGACACGGUCAUUUAUACUACUGGCCGGGAUCGUCAAGUCCAAAAUACAAUUGUUGCUGACAGUGGACCUUUGGUUACAACUCCUGUGAUGGUACUGGUGAAUAAUAGGACAGCAAGUGCCAGCGAAAUAGUUGCUUCAGCACUUCAUGACAAUUGCAAAGCUGUUCUUGUCGGUGAAAGGACUUUUGGCAAGGGCUUAAUCCAAUCAGUAUUUGAACUUCAUGAUGGUUCUGGUAUUGUCGUCACAGUUGGCAAAUAUGUCACGCCAAAUCACAAAGACAUCAAUGGAGAUGGAAUAGAACCAGACUACCGCCGUCUUCCUGAUCUCAAUGAAGCCAGAGAUUACCUUUCGCGUUGCCAAAGCAAGAAAUUAAGUUGA